UAACCUGCCCAAGAGAUCGGGAUAACACCUGGAAACAGAUGCUAAUACCGGAUAAUAACAGAUGAUGCCUAUCAACUGUUUAAAAGAUGGUUCUGCUAUCACUCUUGGAUGGACCUGCGGUGCAUUAGCUAGUUGGUAGGGUAACGGCCCACCAAGGCGAUGAUGCAUAGCCGAGUUGAGAGACUGAUCGGCCACAUGGGACUGAGANACGGCCCAAACUCCUACGGGAGGCAGCAGAA
rnacentral:rRNA from 1 species